ACAAAGGAAAGGGACAGUGAGAUGAGUGACCAGGAAGUGAAGAAGAAGAAAACAGGGAAAGGGAAAAGAACCAAGCAAACGCUAGUGAGACCAGUGAGCAUUGAGCAGGAAGAGAACCAACAAGAAGGGGCAGGAGUACACUGACGCGCACGACCAAGACCACAGCAUUCCAUUUCUAUUGUAUUAUAAUUAUCACUAAUAAAGAAUUAUUGUUGAAUUUUC